GAUGAACGCUGGCGGCGUGCCUAAUACAUGCAAGUCGAGCGAAUGGAUUGAGAGCUUGCUCUCAAGAAGUUAGCGGCGGACGGGUGAGUAACACGUGGGUAACCUGCCCAUAAGACUGGGAUAACUCCGGGAAACCGGGGCUAAUACCGGAUAACAUUUUGAACUGCAUGGUUCGAAAUUGAAAGGCGGCUUCGGCUGUCACUUAUGGAUGGACCCGCGUCGCAUUAGCUAGUUGGUGAGGUAACGGCUCACCAAGGCAACGAUGCGUAGCCGACCUGAGAGGGUGAUCGGCCACACUGGGACUGAGACACGGCCCAGACUCCUACGGGAGGCAGCAGUAGGGAAUCUUCCGCAAUGGACGAAAGUCUGACGGAGCAACGCCGCGUGAGUGAUGAAGGCUUUCGGGUCGUAAAACUCUGUUGUUAGGGAAGAACAAGUGCUAGUUGAAUAAGCUGGCACCUUGACGGUACCUAACCAGAAAGCCACGGC
rnacentral:rRNA from 2 species